GGGUCAGUAGGUUGGUCGUGCCACCGGUACGUACUGGUCUCACUGAUUCCUCCUUCCUGAAGAACCGUAAUGCCACUAAUUUGGUGUUGCGGGGAAACAGGACUGUUACUUUGAAAAAAUUAGAGUGUUUAAAGCAAGCUAACGCUUGAAUACAUUAGCAUGGAAUAAUGAAAUAGGACGAUCGAUCCUAUUUUGUUGGUUUCUAGGAUUGACGCA
rnacentral:rRNA from 1 species